AUUAAACGCUGGCGGCAUGCCUUACACAUGCAAGUCGAACGGCAGCACGGGGGCAACCCUGGUGGCGAGUGGCGGACGGGUGAGUAAAGCAUCGGAACGUAUCCUGGAGUGGGGGAUAACGUAGCGAAAGUUACGCUAAUACCGCAUAUUCUGUGAGCAGGAAAGCAGGGGAUCGCAAGACCUUGCGCUCUGGGAGCGGCCGAUGUCGGAUUAGCUAGUUGGUGGGGUAAAGGCCUACCAAGGCGACGAUCCGUAGCGGGUCUGAGAGGAUGAUCCGCCACACUGGGACUGAGACACGGCCCAGACUCCUACGGGAGGCAGCAGUGGGGAAUUUUUGGACAAUGGGCGCAAGCCUGAUCCAGCCAUGCCGCGUGAGUGAAGAAGGCCUUCGGGUUGUAAA
rnacentral:rRNA from 1 species